CUAAUUUAGUAAUUUUUUGGCUAAUUGGCUAAAAUAGCCUCUUGCCAAAUGAGGCCUUAGUGUUAAUUGAAGUGGCUUGUAAGGAGAAGUGAGUUAUUAAAAUUAAACUUAGAAUUAGGAAGAGAAUAAGAAGAACCAAACGAGGCCUAUCCUUACUCAUCAAAUAAAAGGUAGUAGAUAGAGAUAGAUAUUUUGAAGAGACUUGAGAGAAUUCUAGAGACAAGAGAGAAAGAGGGAAACCUAGAAUUCAAGAAAAAGAAGAAAGGGGUUUGAGUAAGCUUCACCAAAUCAAUCAUUUAAGCCUUUACCUCGCAGCCAAACAGAGCCUUAGCUUCUCGUACGUGCGGAUUAUUUUUCCCGCAUGUGCGACACCCCUUCCCGCACGUGCGGUGACCACUCCCACACUUGCAGCCGCACCUCGGGACACAAGCCUGCUAUUUUGAAUCUGUUGGAAGAGGCUAGAGGUAUAAAAAGACAGAAAAUAGGCUAGAAUAGGGUUCUGAAAUUUAGAAGGAGAAAAAGGAGGCUAAGGUUUGGAAAAAGGUAAUUCUCAAUCUUCAAAGCAAAUACCCAUGGAGAAUUCCAUCUCUUCCACCUCUUCCCACUCCUCCAUGAGUGGCUAAGCUCUUCUUUUCUAGGGUUUUGAUGAAACCCUAGCCAUGUAAAAGGAUUUUUCUUAAGCUUUGAUUGUAAAACGGUUUAAAUAAAUGUAUGGAUGAUUUAGAAGUUUAUAAUAAUUGUUCUUUUCAUCUCUUCAA